rnacentral:lncRNA from 1 species
UUCCUGUCCUUUAUCAACUGUUUCCCUAUAGCACUUACUAAUGCCUGAUAUUAUACUUAUUGAUCUGGUUAGGUUUUUUUUUUUGGUUUGUUUGUUUUGCUUAGCUCCUUCAACAGAACAUGUUUAAUUCAUUGAGCCAAACAUUUACUAAGUGAAUGAAUUCAUUUUUGUAUCCCUUGCAAUAAUUUUUAAUUACAAGUCUGGAACAUAGGAACUAUUCAAUAAUGUCUUGUCAUAUCAUCUCAAUUAAUUAUUAUUAACUUGAGAUGUAAAUAUUUUUCUCUUUUUACAGAGACAUGAUGUGAAUUGUGUAAGAGCACCCAAAGGAGCAAAAGUUGGCUUCCUGAUCUCUGCAACUUUGUGGACUCUGUCAUUUCCACUUCCCUCUUGGGUUUCCACUUCUCUGUGCUGUGUCUGAGAUCUUGAAAUUGCUCAAAAGACAUAUAAGAAGUCAAGAAGAGCUCAGAUCAAUGAGUUCUAAGCUUUCAGGAACCCAGAGAAACACAGUUGGCAAGCUCCAAGUACUACAUCUUCUCAUGGUUAUAGACAAGAGUAUUCUUGCCACUUCCCUCCUCCAAGAGCUGUUCCAAAAUGCAUACUUUGGGAAGAGUUGGAGUUCUAAAAGGAUCCUGUAACAUCCAGUGGGCAACAAAUGUGUGUUGAAUGAAUGGAUGGAGUAAGCAAAUGAAAUGUUUCUCCUCGUAUUUCCCAGAAGCAUUAAAAGGAAGACACGACCCCACCUGGCAGAUGGACCUAACUUCCCUACCAGCUCUCCUAUUCCGAUGACUUCUGGAGGAGAGGGGAGUAAAGCAGAGAAAAUUGCUGUGAAGUUCAAGACCAAAGGACUGCUGGCCACAUGUGAGGCCCCUGCUCUGGCAGGGCAGCAGCAGUGAGAACGACUGGUGAGGCCAGUUUCCAAAUCUGGACUCGGGUUUCAGAUCAGAGCAACAGAAGUUAGGGCUGGCUAGGUAUGGGGGGGAGGAUUUCAGGGUAAAGCAAAGACUUCUACCAGAGGGAUAAGAGACUGGAGUUAGCAUCAACAGAAUCAAUGAAGCAAGUGAAGAAUUGCAUAGAAUGGAUUUAGGCAAGAGCACGUUGCGUGUGAGUUCACUUGGGGACUUCCAUGGUGUGUGAGGACCUCAGUGAGAAUUUUCUAUCCGUGAAGGUUACUGUCCUCCUGCAGGCUUUCUUCCACCAUACCUUCUAAAGGUGAAGACGUUUCUGAUCCCAGCUUCUUUUAGUAUUAUUUACACCCAUCUUGACCGUCUAUCAUCUCCAUCUUCUAAGACCUAUCAGAAAUGUCCCAAAUGGCCCCCAGCUUUUUCCUACGGAUGUCUGUAGGGAUGUCAUUAUAACAUCUGUCCUGUUUAGUUUGUGAUCUGUAUGUCCUCUAUUUCCAUCAGUAGUCACAGGUCUUAGGUCAUGUUUAUAUUACGAGUGCCUUGCAGGGCAGGCAAGGAUGUCUCCUCACAAUCUACUCAUGAAAGCCUUGGCAGCAAAUAGCACUGUAUCCCAACCCGGGGAAGCACUUCAUUGUUCUUCACAGCUAGAAGCCUGGGAAUAAAAUAUAUAUUAGAAUGUGCA